UUCCCCUUCCCCAUACACUGACUCAUUUCUCUCUCUCAAAAACAACAAUACGAAGACUUUCUCUCUUCUCUUUUCCCUUCUUCAUCGACAAAAAUGGCAGCCAUAGAUGCGCCUCUACGCGGACCGCCCCAUCUUGUCCCGUGAAAUCCGCUGAACUCAGGAAAAUUGGGCCGAAAACGAUGUAACAACUCGUCAUUGACGUCCAAUCCGCCAUAAGUGGCCUGAAAAAGGUUGAAAUCGAUGGAUUUGCUUCAGAAAUUUGAAUUCAAAAAUUCAAAUUCUCUGUUUUUCCCUCGUUUUUACUAAUUCGUUGUCUCAAAUCCUGACAUUAAAGUCCAGAUUUGGCUAUAAAUUGCCAGAUUCCCACUCCCUUGAGGACAGGGCUGAUCAUCGGAGAUUAGGGGGACAGAGGUGAAGAAACAAAAAAAAAACAAGUUGAAAAAGGAAAAGGAGUUUUCAAAAUUUCCUAGUUUUCUUUCCAAUUUUUGCCCAAUUUCGAAGUUUCGGAGCGGGUUUGUAGUCGCCGGAGAAUUCCUUGACACCGGAGCCCCAGUUUCGCUGCACCAAACAAGGUGCGAAUUUGCCCCUUUAAUUUCUUCAUUCAUCUUUUAUCUCGUUCGGUCGAUAAAGGUUUUGCUCUAUGUGGUUAAUUUGUUUUUGCUCACUUUGGAUUGCCGGCUAGCGUAGUUCUGUUGUUUUGGUGAAUUUAUCUUGGUUCAGAAAUUUGUUUCAUGAAUAUAUAGCCUGUAAAUACGUGGACGUUAGAUUUGUUUUCGAUUCAUGUUUAUAUUCCCCGUUUGAGUUUAAAGACUUGAUUUCGGACUGUUUUGUGGUCAAAUUAUGCAAGAUAUCUGAAAUAUACCUUCUUACUGGACCUCUGUCUUUUCUCUCGCCUAUUUUGAAUAUGCAAAUAUGUGGUGGUAAUUUGUUUCAUUCUAAGCUUCUAUUGUUUUCAAUGUGUGCGAAUCUCUCCUUUAUUUCCAUCUCAUUUUCGUUCCCGGGAUAUGUGAUUCUGCUUUGAUUCAACUCAUAUCCUAUUGUGAUGCUUAAAAUUGGUGUUGUGAAUGAAUACCUGCAUAUGUGAGCCUUUAUCCUUUUUCUCAACUAUGCAUUUGAGUCCCGAAAGUGAGUACGAAUUUGAUUUUGUUUCGAACAUGUGUUUGUGGUAAGAGAAAUAGCAUAAGGUCCUCUUUAUUCCUUCGUCCUUGGUUACCUGCUUGUUUACGUGAAAUAACAAAUGUGUUUUGUUUAUUAAAUUCCUACGUGUGAUAUUGUUUGGCAUUUGGGCCGAAUGAAGUGCAUGAAUUACCUCAUUUUUCUUUCUUUGCGUUCGUCCGGUCUCGUUGAUUACAUGUGCAGCUGUUUUGGUGUUCAAAUAGGUGGAAUUUACAAAAUUUUACUCCUUUAUACUUCGUACAAUGCCGGGCCGCUAUAAAUUGUCGCUGCUUUCGUUUGUUUACAAGUUUUAAGAGUAGCUUAACCCUGCCAAGGUUGAAAAGUUUAUUACUGUCCCUCCAAAAUGAGUAAAAUUUCCUUUAAAAAUGCUAAUUUAAAACUUGGAAAGGGUUCAAGUUUGGCGUGGGAAAAACCUUUUGUUAUGUUCAUCCUUGAAUUUGGAAAGUCCAUUAUAGAGUUCCUUUUCAUUUUCUGCUUCCCAUGUACAGAUGUAAAGAAAAUCUUUUCUUUAAAAAUGGGGCUGUUCUUAAUAUGUAGCAACGCGCAAGUUGAAGUUAUUGAUGUAUUUUAAACAUUGGAGCGUUUGCUUAUGUAUUAUACCCUUUCGUAAUACGGAUCAUAGUAGGUAGUAUGUUAUGGACUUCCUAGUUUCUAACAAAGUAUUGUCAAUCUUUGGGAGCAUAUGGCGUGCCUUGACAAAAUAAAGUUUUUAUUUCUUAUCUGUUUAAGGAGAUGGCUCACUCUACUAAUAUAUUGUUUCCUCUCCUUCACCUAUUUGGGAACACAUGAUUUUAUUUCAAUUUCAAGCUCCCUUCUUUGUUAUUUUCCUUUAACUUUGUAGAUAAAAGUGCAUUUUGAUUUUGGGAAAAAUGAUUUGGUUAUGCUGUGUUGUUCGUUAUUCGCGGACUGAGUUCGAGGAUUCUGUUUCAUCUUAAACCUCCUUUUCUAUCAAAAUGAAUAUAGUAAAGUGUGUGGUUGUUUGGUGUUCUCAAUGCGAAUAUGUGAUUUUACUUAGUCUUAAGUUACGUUGUUUCUUUCUAUUAACUUAUGGAUAAAAAAUAGAAUCCGAUUUUGUGAAGUUAUUCCGUGUGUGGGUAUACAAGUCUGUUCAUAUGUGCAUAUGUGUAUUUUAGGGCUACUGGUCGUUUUGCCAAUCAAGUUCAUGAAUAGCUGACUCGCGACUUUGGUGGGCUGUGGCAGUAUUCUUGGUUUUUGUUCUUUUCUGUGGUGUUGUUGUUCCUUUUCUGUGGAAGUUUGGCUAUAUGACUUGGUUUCGGUUUUGGCUACCCUAUUUUAUGUGGUUGCUUUAAUAUCCAAACAUGUGAUGUUUAUUAGACUUUUUGCUCCUCUGUUUCGCUUUAUUUACUAGGAUGUAGUGGUUGAUACAGUUUGAAUCCAUCUCCAAGUUAUUAUUUGGUGUAAAAACUAACCCUAGAAUUAGAAGUUUGUCUCCACCAUUGAUUUGAAUUUAUAAAUUUCCUUCCUUCGCCUCAUUUUGUAUUUGACUUAACAUAGAUGUCUAGUGUCGUUUGGUGUUAAAUGUGAUAAAAUUAUGAUUUACUAAUAACCAAACUUCUGGAAAUUGUAGUUUGGUUCGUGUACAACGUGUCCAGUUAUAGAAGAGCCAUUUUUGUCAUCUCGAAUUUUGUUGAGCUAAAUUAUUUGACAUAUAACUAUGAUCAACCACCUUUUGAAAUAUAUAAUAUAUUCAUAUCCUUGGGUUUUUUCUUAAAGUAAAUUAGUUUGAAAUAUAUAAUAUAUUCAUAUCCUUGGUUCGUGUAAUUUGACCUUAGGAUGAUUUAUUUGGUGUGCUUUCUGUAGCCUACAUCUUUGAAUUAUUGAAUUAUUUAAUCGUUUUCUAAUCUUUAUCUAUCGCAUGUACAAUUGGAAAUCGGAGUUCCGCCAUGGGACUCACUGUUAACCCAACAAUUGGGUCAAUGGCCAUAGGACAAGAGCUCGGGGUCCAAAUGUCUAGAAGUCGGUUCCUUCGAUAGGAAAUCUAUAGUAUCGAGUUCCUUACUUUUCUCAUCGCUUUUUCAUAUUUAUUUCAUUGACGUUGUAUUACACUGAAUAUGUGUUUCAUGUUGCUUCGAUUGGAAUUGAUUGACAUUUUUUUGGUUAAAAUUAUCUAGAAUUAGCUUCCCCGAUUAACCCUUUAUAUUGGACGUUUACACAUCAUGAAUAGACUCUUUAGAAUUAAGGCAAAUUUUGUUCUAAGUGCAAUCUUAAUAUACAUUUUUCGAAUUGGUUCAAAUAGCUAGUAAUUGUCUUAGUUUUUCAGAUGCACUAAUUAAUGAUUGACUCGACUUAAUUGGAGUCUCAAAAUGAAUCACGGAGCGAUUUUAGUUAGUCAAGACUUUCGCAAGUGACACCCAUCUAGAGUGCAUUUUCUUUUUUACUUGAGAUAAUCGAAAUGGUCAUUACAUUUUAUAUUUUCUAACUUCACUUCAAGAUUUCAAAGAGGCUUCAAAAGCACAUGGUUAAAAGCCCCCAGUCUUUACCUCAAAUUUUAUCUUACACUUAUACUUUGCGGGAGUUCUAUGAUCUCCUUAAUUAUUUUAAAAUAAAAUUAUUAUCCGUUUGAACUAUUUUAAAGUAGAAUUAUUACCUCCCGAAAUGAAUUAUUUUAAAGUGAAAUUAUUACCUCCUGAAAAUUGACAACCAGUCAUUUGGAAUGUGGUGUGAUACACGUGCUGCCAUGUCAUUGCCACGUCAUUUUUUUCUUUUUUACUCUAAAAAAAUUAAUUAUUUAACUUUAUUAUUUCCUUUCUUCUUCCCCACUUUCCAUUUUGCUCCAUUUUCUUCUUCAACCCAAUUUCAUCUUCUUCUUCAACCCAUUUUGCUCCGCACAAACGAUCACAAAAAUCAAAAACCUCAGCUACAACAAAGCAAAAGUUGCAACAUAAAAUGGAUAUAGACCAAAAUAAUUAAGUAAAUUGCUGUGACAAUGUGGUACCAUAAGCAUAGACAUCAAUAUUUUUCAACCUGAAAACAACCUUUUUACGCAGCCCAAUUCCAAGGAGUCGUUGAGUAUCUUUCAAAAUCGACGGAAAUGACAUUCCAGUCCUCGAUUCCGUUAUCAGAGCUGAAUUAUCAACUAAAGAAACACAACCCCAUAAAGGUGACGAAUGAUUUUUAGCACUUUUGAAAAAUGGAUUUUUGGAGCUUUGAGUUAUGGCAUUUUGUGUUUUAACUUUUAGAGUUUUGAAGGCAAGAAUUUUAUCUUCUAGGUUUUGUGUCAUGAUUCACAAUAUGAUUUUACAGUCAUAAGAGUUCUAAAUUCUUUUUUGGAAAUUAUAUAUGGCAUUGUGGGUUAUGUUGGAAUUAUAUAUGACAUUGUGGAAAUUCAAAGCUUUGAGCAAUGGCGGAUCUUGAGCAAAAAUAGAGAAAAUAAAAAAUGUGUUGAAAAUUAUAUAUGACAUUGUGGAAAUUCAAAGCUUUGAGCUCGCCAUUAAUGCUAGAUCUUGAGCAAAAAGAGAGAAAAUCGGAGUUCUUGAAUUUUUUCAAGUUUUUUGAAUCGGAGUUUCUCAUCUUCCUCAUUCAAAAAUUCAUUAAUCGGAGAAAUCUUCUUGUUUCCUUAGUUCAAGUGUUUCUUGUUUUCGGUAAUAACAUUUUUCAAAUUAUCAAAAAAUACCAUUAAUGAGUCUUCGCCAUUAAUUAGUUCAAGAAAGAUGAGAAAAUGAAAUUGGACAUGAGGAAGAUGAGGAACUCCAUUAAUGAGCUCUUGAAUUUUUGUUCUAAAAAGGAGAAGAAGAAGACAUGAGAAAAUGAAUAAGAAAAAGUAAUAAUUAAAAUUAUUUGCAUAAAAAAUAUUAAAAAUAAUUUUUUAAUAAAAAAAUUCGUUCUCACUCUCUUUAAAGAGAGUGAAACACACUCUCUUGCCAUGUCAGCGUUAAGGGGGUAAUAAUUUUACUUUAAAAUAGUUCAGGAGGGGGAGGUCAUAGGACCCCCGCAAAGUAUAAGUGUGUAGUUGAAAUUUGGGGUAAAGGUUGGGGGCGCUUUUGAUCAUUUUCUAUAUUUUCUAACUUUACUUCAAGUUUCUCAGAUUUCAAAAAACCUUCAAAAGCACAAGAUAUAUAUGCGUUCUUACACUCUCAUAUAUAAAGUAUAUUCUUUUCUUACUACUGUAUUAUUAUUACAUUAUCAUUUACAUGCUAUAUCAACUCUAUUAUCUAUAUGCAUUUACUAUUAAGUUUUAUUUACUAUUUAGUUUUUAACUACUGAGAUUUCACAAAUUAAUAAAUUUUCACGCCCUUUUCAUAUACUUUCAAACACACAUGUAUCUAUAUUUACUUUUUUUUAUUAGUAAGUAUUCACAUUUAAAAAAAAUUACUUUUUUUUUACUUCAUAAUAAUGUUGUCUAUAUAUUACAAUUUCAUACAUAUUUUCUUACAAGCCCACAAAACAUUUUACUUUCUAACAAAUCUUUUAUUACAAUAUUUCCUUUUUUUUCCGCAUUUAAAAUACAUACAUUUUGCAAUUUUACUUAAAAUACAUACAUUUUACUUCCUUAUAUAUGACAGUGUUACGUAUUAUACACCUUGAGCUUCUAUUCCAAAAAAGAAAAAUGAAAGUUUCUUCUCUUGUCACUUUUUUUAACAAACAAUGAGAUAAAUAUUUUCUAAAUAUUUUUCUGAAACUAAGUUUAAGGACUAUCUUCGGAUAGGCUUUGAAGGGUGCUUAAUACCUUCCCCUUGAGUAAUCAAAACCCUUACUUAGAAUGUCGUUGGUUUUCGCAAACUAAAAUAGAGUUUUCACAUUAGAAAAAUGAUUUUCCUAAUUUUUCCUUAAAAGUUAGGUGGCGACUCGAAACAAAACAAAUAAUUUUUUCAAAAAAUCGAAAAGAGUCAUCACGAACACCAUUAUAUUGCGGACUGUUUCGACCAGUUCGAAAUGGGGUGCGAUACAUAGUAUAUAAUAAAUGGAUUGGAAUCGAUAAUGCACAACGAAAAAGUCAAUUUUGACUGCAAUUCAUUACUUUUGAAAACAGAAUACACAUUACAAAUUGUUUAGUGCAUUUGACAAAAUAAAAUAAAACAAAAAAAUACAAUGCCAAUUCUAUUUUCCUAUGUUAAGGCUACAUGUUAUUCUCUUAUGUCCCGUCCUUUUGCACUUGGAGCACUUGUUCCUUUUCUUGGGCCUUGAAGACUCCAACACACCCUUAACAUGUUUCACCAUCCUCCUCUCUAGUUUAGGAUUGAAAUCGGGUGGAAGAACUUGCAUUUCUAGCUCCAUUCCGACUCUAGAGGUACUGCACAAAUAGGUUCCAAAGUAUGCAAGGAUAUAUUAUUUUUUUGAAUAUAUGGAAGAAGAGUAGUUGUAAAUGAUACUUCCAUAAUCGUCCCCGUGUUUCAAACGCAAUGCUGCCAUUACAUGAGCGCAUGACAAUUUUAUCAAGUUGUACUUCCUACAAGAACUUGACCUUUUCGAUAAUUAACUUUGGCGGAAGGACCACAACCAAGCAAGGUGAAUUCAUCGGUGCUUCCGUUUAUGUUGCUCACAUACAAUUUGUUGCCCUCGGUCAUGUUUUUCCUUAAGAUCUUUGGUUUUGGGAACAAAUGGAUUCCUUGAAUUGCUCAUCUCCGCAUACCUCUACUGAAUAUUUCGCCAAACCUAUGUGAAAUUGAAUUGAAGAUGGCCGCUACUGGAUACUCUCUUUCGUCUAGUAAUAUUGCAUUGAGCGACUUGACGAUGUUUGUGGUCAUGGCGUUGAAUCUAUUUCCUAGAAAGGGAGCCCAAAUUCACUUUUCAAAUCCAACGUCGUGCUCGAGGCAAGCUGCUGCGUCGAGGCAUUUUUCUGUAAGGACGUUGAAGUAGUCAUUAAAUUCUUCCAAUGUGUACGCCUUGGCCGCAUGGUAGUACAAAUGGUGAUAAUCAGCACAGUGGUGAUUCUUUUGAAUAUUUUCACUAAGAUGCCUAAUACAAACACCAUGAUGCGCAAGAAGAUAAUUUUUUGUGAGACCGUUGGCUAUGCUUAUGUGUCUGUCUGAGAUAAUGUAUAAUUCUGGUUCAUCGAUAGCAACAGACUUAAAAUUCUCGAAGAAGAAUCCCCACGACACAUCAUUUUCCUUGUCCACCACACAAUACGCUAAGGGAUAGAUAUGCUUUUGCGUAUCUUGCGCGACAGCGAACAAUAUCACACCCUCAUACUUUCUGAACAAAUGUGUGCCAUCAACGACAAUGACCUUUCUCAUAUGUGUAUAUCCAUGGAUGGAAGCCCCAAAUAUAAAGUAGUACAUAAACUUGACCGACUCCUCUUCGAUUAUGAGAGAAUUUAUAGACCUGGGAUUGAGGUCGUUAAAAUAAUUCAUACCAAUUAAAAUAAUCACAUCCACACAACUUCUAUAAAAAUAAGACCACAAUUACAAAAUAAUUACAAAUUAAUCAACUAAUUAAAUAAAUAAAUAUUACCUUUGAAAUCUUACAAGUAAAAAACCUACGACCUGGAUUUUGUUGAGUCCAAGAAGUCUUCAAUAGAGCUUCAUGACCAUACUUACAAUAUCAAAAAUCUUAAUCACAAAAAAUAGUGGAAGAUGAGCUCGACAUUAUCAAGCUCAAUUGGAAAAAAUGAAAAAAAUAUGCAGAAAAAAUAAAUACAAAUAAUUUGAAGAAUUUGGAUAGAGAAACAAAGAUGAUGAAGAAGAAGAUUUGGGAAUUUAGGUUAAAUUUUAGGAAGAAGAUGAAUAUACAAGACAAUGAGAGAAAAAUAACCGUUGGGGGCCAAAUCAGAUGACAAGUCAGCAAAAAUGAAGGUUCAACUAGCCUUGGCUGCGUGAAUUACACGCGAGCUGCCAACAGGACAAAAAGUGCCAAGCUGACUCAUUUGAUGCCUAUUUUAUUUUAGUUGUUUAAAAUAAACACUGUCUACUUGAUGCCUAUUUUAUUUUAGGUGUUUAAAAUGAACACUGUCGAUGGAUCCCGCCUUUUUUUAUUUUAAGUCACUUCACUUUACAUAUAGUGACAAUUUUUUAUGUCUAAUGAAAGUUGAAUUUUUAUGAUGCAACAGAUUGUCCUUCUGUUGUAACAUAUAUUCUACCUGUUCUGACAUAUAGUUUAUCUGUUGUAAUAGGUUGGUCAUCUGUUGCAUUAUAUUGAUGUUUCUAUCUAAGUCUAUCUAUUGCAAUAGUAGGAAGACAUGUUUGGUAAUUUUCAAUAGAUUACCUACCUAUUGCAACAUAUGUCUAAAUCUGUUUGAUAUUUUCCAACAAAUAUGUCGUCUGUUGCAACAGAUACCUUUUUUGUUGCAAUAUUUGAAUCUAGUAUUCUAUUUCAAUUAAUAAGUUUAAAUCUAAGGAUAAAAUAAAAUUCAUAGACAAAAUAAAAUAAAUCGAAACCUUCAGAAAUUACAUGAAAUAAAUGAACAAAUAAAUGAAAUGUAAAAAAUGGGUACAGAUCUCAACAAAUACAUCAACAAUUUAAGUUUUGAUGCCGAGAAUUCCUAAGGAGGGAUGAGGUUAUUACUUUGAUAGACUCAAGCUAUAAAAAUCUACUCAAUUUGGACAAGUUCUUCAUUCGAUGCUAUGAAAUUUGGAUUUGGUCGUCAUGGAUCUUUAAUGUCAUUUGUGUAAGGUUUCUGCACUUUCUGUUUUCUGUAUUUACAUAAAAAGAGUAACAUAUUGUCAAUGCUAUUCAACAGUAGCUUAUACAGUGACAUCCACCUGGAAAGCCAGAAUUGGUCAAUACUAAUCACAGAGAUACAAAAAAAUUAAAAAGAAUAACUCAUCUAUUUUAACAAAUCAAACAGUUUUUCCUCCUAUUUUAAAUUAUCCCAAACAGAUUAUAUUUCUGUUGCAACAGAUGGAUCAACUGUUGGGAUAAAUUAUAAUAUGAGGAAGACCUGUAUGAUAAUUUCCAAUGGAUGAACCAUCUAUUACAACAUAUGACUCAUCUGUUUGGGAAAACUGAAAUGGUAGAAAGUCUUGAUUUAAUUUAUUUCAACAGAUGACCCAUCCGUUGCAGCAGAUAGGUCAUAUGUUGGUACAAAUAAAAGUGGUAUGUAGAUAUAUUUGAUUUACUAAAAUAGACCAGACAUAUGUUGCAACAGAUACUGUAUCUGAUGCAACAAGUUAGUCAACUAUUGCAACAUAUGUAUAUAUCUAUUUGAUAAUUUUCAGUAGAUGUAUAAUCUAUUGAAGCAGAUAUGUGUCUAUUUGUUAAAUGGAACAAACGAUAUAUAUUUAUCUUCUUCAAUUCGUGCUACUCUACUGUGGCGAUUAUACAUUGCUCAAUAGUGCAACACACGGACAAAGGAGUUGCAAUUUUGCUUUUUUGGAUGCUUAAUAAUGCCUUGAAAUUACUUUCCUUCUCCUCUUAGCCUUAAUCUCUAAUGGAGUGGAUGGAUAUAAAAUCCUCUUUGAUGGAAUAACACCCCUCUUAGAUGUCAAUUCCUUUACAGAAGCAGUUAAUGUAUUAAUAGAAUUAAUCACUACAUUAUGUUUUGCCUUGCAGUCUUGACAUUUGUAUGUAGAACAUUCGCUAGGAGAGGUAAAAUCUGUAUAACCAGUAUGAUCAUACUUAUAAUGGUUUAUUUUUAAAACUGUAAGAGGAGUAUCAUUAGCAUCAACAACAACACCAUUACCACCACCAAUUGCUCCAUCACCACUGAUACCAUCAACAACAACAAGCCCACCCUCUAAAAUUAUUUUUCUGGUGAUGGUUGUUGCUCCAAACAAUCCUAUUUUUAUUCUAUCAAUGACCUUAGGGUCCGAUAAAGUUUGCACAGACCGUAAAGUAAGAAAAAAUGACAUCUUCAACUCUCGAUUGGUCGGAACAAGUGAUGGAUGCACAAUCUAACAUAAAUCAUUACAUAUAUUAGAAUAAUGAUUAGAUCAUUCAAAAAAAUCAUUAAUUAAAAUAAAAUUUUAAUUAUAAUUAUACUUACUGCAUCCUUCUAGGGGUUGAAGAGAUCAAGAAAUUUUGCAUUUUUAUCAGUUUUGGCCGACAACCAUCUCAAGAUUCUUGGACAGGAAACUUCUUCCUGUAGUUCACUUGUUAUCUCAAAUAAGGAAUGACUUCAAACGCCCAAGCCUAUAAAAUAAAACCAAUAAAUCAGAACUAUUAUCGAAUAAAAAAAUGAAUCAUAUCAUUAUAAAAGAGACAUUUGCCAUGAAAGCCCAUGAAAAGCCAUAUAAGUUGACUGUCUUUGGCGUUAACGGAGUCAACAAACAUUUGACAAUUAUAAAGAAGCUUUCAUAACCCCAAGGAUAGUUGUAAAUGCCUCAAGAUCUUCAGAGAAUUUUUUUAAACCAACGCUUAUGUUGUUGUUUACGUCUCUCGCCCAAAGAAUAUUAUGUACAAACUAAACCAAGCACAAUGAUUGCUUGUGCUUCUUUGAAAUUCUUUUACCUUUCAACGCUUCUAUUAAAUUUUUAUUUUUAAAACUUGGACCAACAAUGGACACCAGGUCAUCACAAUUACUCGACUUGCCUUUGCUUUUCUGAGUGUGCGGGGUUUUUUUUUAGUUAGAAUAAGUAUAACUUGAGAAGGAGAAAGAGGAUAACAUUUUAGUCUUGUAACUAUGACAAACUCCUUCCAACCAAAACAAAUAGGCAUGUCACAAUAAUUUAUCCAUACCUCAUUCAUCUUAUCUUUAUUUUCAUACAUAAACCUAUGCUUGAGAAAAUCAUAUACCAUUUUCAUUUGGAAACGAGCACUUUUGUCCUCCAGCAAAUCAAGAUAUUGCCCAAAGCAGCUGUCCCUGAAAUAUACAUUAACUUUUUGUUUUCAAAGUAUUUUUCUAAAGGCGUUGAAAGAUUUUCCCAUGAUCGACUUAACCACGAAAUCUUUCAUUAAAUCUGUGGCACUAUCACACUGCAUUCUCACAGGAUAACAAUCAAUGCUUAAGGUUUUGACCAACUCUUCGAUGAAGGGCUAUUAACAUUUGGAUCAUCUCUUUUGAAACAUUCCUCCUCCCAGUGUUUAUCAUAUUCUGCUCCUGAUUGAUAUAACGCUUGUAAAGCAAGCUCAUAGAGUGGUGGAUGUAGCCUAGUUGCUUCACUUGUUCCUUUACUUGGACUUGAUUCAGUUUCUGUUCUUUUGGGAGCCAUAUUAUCAAAAAUUAAUAGAAAUGCAAAACAUAUUAUAAUUGAUUAAUGCAUCGUUAAAAGAGAAUAACAGUAAAUCUAACAUGCAAAACAGUAAAAUAACUGUUCUAAUAGAUCACAAAUCUAUUGUAAUAAUUUACCUGUUGCAAUAGAUGAGUAAUUUGUUGCAACAAUACAAAACAUAUCACUUAUCUGUUGAGAUAAAUAAAUGGUCUGUGCAAUAGAUGAAAUAUCUGUUGUAAUAUAUAAGUGAUCUGUUGGAACAGUUAACUAAUCUAUUGCAACAGAUGAAAAAUUUAUUGAAAUAAUACAAAAUAUAUCAUUCAUCUGUUGAGACAAAUGAAUGGUUUAUGCAACAGAUCACACAUCUAUUACAACAUAGGAGUGAUCUAUAGGAAAAGUUAUCAACGGUCUAUGUUGUUUAGAUUUCUUCUAAUAGAAGGGUCGUCUAUCACGAAAAAUGAAUGAUCAAUUGGAAAAAUCAAGUCUUGGACAUGUCCUUUGGAAUAGUUGAUCGGAUUUUAUCCAACAGAUGGUUCAUCUGUUGCAUCAAGUUUUUAAUCUGAUGGUUUCUCCGUUGUAUCAAAUUUUUAAUUUGAUGGUUCCUCUGUUGCAUUCGAUGGUAAAUCUGUUGCAACAUAUGGUUAAUCUGUUGUAUCAAAUGAUUAAUCUGUUGCAUCAAAUUUUUAAUUCGAUGGUUCCUCUGUUGCAUCAGAUGGUUAAUUUAUUGCAUUAUAUGGUUAAUCUGUUGCAUCAGAUUUUUAAUUUGAUAGUUCCUCUGUUGCAUCAGAUGGUUAAUCUAUUGCAUCAUAAGCUAAGUCUGUUGCAUUAGAUGGUUAAUCUGUUGCAUCAAAUGAUAAAUUUGUUGCAUUAGAUGGUUAAUCUAUUGCAGAAAAAAAUAGUAGCAUGAUUUUGUUCAAUAGAACAAUAAUAAUAUCAUCAUUUUUACCAAAAACAAGAAUAAAUCAACCCAGCAACGGGUGCAACACAAAAAACACCAACAUUAUUAUUUUUUUUGUAUAAACACAAAUAACAAAAAUCAAACUUCAAAAAAAUACAACAAACAACAAAAAAUCAUAAUUCACUCCAAAAAGAGAAGAGAAGAAAUACCAGAAAUUAGGAUUUUAUUCAUAUCGCAUUUCAAAUUAAAGCAACAAAUAUUAAAAUUGGUAACCAAAACUAGAAGAGAAGUUGGCUCAAGAUUCUUGUUUUCUUCAAAAUUAAAAAUGCCAUAAUUUUUUAUCUGUGAAAGAAGAAAAGGGAGAUGAAGAAUUCAAAACUUUUGUGGCCGGAGAGCAAGGCUGUAACGUCGAUUGACGGUUGAAAGUGAAAAAGGAACUCGAAUCCCAACUAUUCAUCUCUGGAGGUUGAAGUCGUCGGGGAUUAAAAGGAGAAAUUUGCAGAACUGUUGGUUGGGAGAAGCUGUCAAGAGAGAGAGAGGAGAGACGGUUGAUUUGGAGAGGAAAUGGGUGUGGGUUGAUUUAUAUUUUUGAAAAGAUUAGAAUGUUUCAAAAAUAUUAAUCAAUUCCACAAUUAACUUAAUCAAGUUUCCUAAUUAUGUUUGACCCUUUAAGUUAAUCAAUGUUACCAAUCCUUCAUUCAAGAGUUAAAUGACACCUUUCCUUCAAUUUCUCAACUAAGUUAGUCUAGUCGGGAUUAUCAUCCUGGUCUACAAUGUUUAUUGCAAAAUUUGUUAUUGGUUGCAGUUCAUUUUUUUGUGCCAAAAAUAAGAAAAUAAGAAAUUGACUAAGUUCAGUAGUUAGAAAAAUACUAGCCCCAUAAGAGGUUUGGGGUUGGAGAUUUAAGGGUCGAGUAUUGGAUUUUUAGAAAGCCCAAUUUGACCCUUACUCGUUCCUAAGGAGCCAACUUAACUCAUUACUCAUUACUAGGGGCUAACCUGACUCUUAUUCGUCCCUAGGAGAGCUAUUUAAAGGACUAACAAGUUUAUCUUUUUUAAAAGACUAGUUUCUCAGCAUGUGCAUUGCACGUGUAUGCCAAGUCAUGUAGAAUAUGAUCAUUAAUAAACUAAUUCAAAUAUUUUUAAAAUAAAAUUUUUUGUGAGUAAUUAUACAUGAAAAAAUAUAGUACAAAUUUUAAGAAAUGAUCAAUGUGGAUCGACGUAGUGACAUGUUUGUCGAGGUCAAGAUGAUUGGACAUUGUCAAAUACUAAGAUGAACAAUCAAAACUUCAGCGGAUGCAUUUUCUUUAAUUGUUUAUAUUAUAUUAAGUAUACAUAUGUAAUGAAGCAUAUCACACCUAAUACUUUGCUAUCAACGUUAUUCUUCUCAUAAUACUCCUUCCAACUAUUAUGAAUAAGCCAUUUUGAAUCAUUAAUCAACACCAUACAAUUUCAAUAACAAUAGAUGAGAUUGAUUAACACAUUUCUCGAGUUGUGUGGUCACAUGUGACAUCACCAUUUAUGUGAUCACAAAAAUACAAACCCUGUAAUAAUAAUUUCGGAGUUGCUAUACUAAUACACAAUGAUAUUUUUAUGUUAAAUAAUAUUAAUAUCUUAAUAAAUACAUUUUAUUUCUGCUAGCAAUUUCUUUUUCAAGAUUUCAUAGACAUUUCGUUGAAUGGAUAAUCAUCAUUAUGUAUCUCAUAUUUGAUAUACACCACGUGUAGCUCUUGUAUAGAUUAAAUUAAUCAAACAAGAAAAUUGGCACUAACUUAACUAGUAUACAAAGGCGUGGUGAAACUCAAUUGACAAAUGAUAAGAUAAGACUUGACUUAUUUCAAUUUAGUUUCAUCUAUAUGUAAAUUUCUGCUAAUUUUAACCAACAACCAAUACUUAUUGAGUUCGUCUCAUUUUGGUUCCUCACUACAUUUUGAUGGGAGUGGCAUGGGCAGUGGGCAGUGGGCAGUGGGCAGUGGACAUAGAUUUUGCUUGUUAGCUAGGCUGGAAACACAUCCCAUUUUGUUUUGCCUAUGCCAAACCUUCUACUCCUAUCCUGUCCAUAUGUGUACAAAUCUAUAAUGAAAUCAAAACACAAAAAGGGACACCAUACUAUCUAUAUGCAUCUAGGUUUAUGAGUGGUUUGGAAAAAUGUUUUCGAUAUAAAGAACUUGGUUUCAUUAUUUUUGACAAUAGGAUGCCAAAAUAAUUAAGACGUAAAGGCUCACAAAUUGGUUUUGCACUUGAGCUAUCACAUUUUACCUAUUCAACCAAUUGAAAAUUAAAGGACUUUAACAUGUUUGUCUCCAACCUGUUUUUAAAUAUUUUCCAUCUCCAAUCUCCUCUUAAAUAUUAUAUCAUCAAGGGUAGAUAACUUUUAUUAUCUUACAAUUCAUCUCAUCUGAUGUUUGAUUAUUGGAUGAAUACCCAUUAUGUUAGGCAUGGAAUAUAAAAUAUGUUAUCUUUUAAAUUCAAAACUGACACGGAAUCACUGUAUAUGUUAUCUUUUCAAUUAAAGAAAGUUAUGAAAUAAUUGUAUAUGUUAUCUUUUCCCAAUAAGAGGCAUGGAAUCACCGUAUGAACUGAUUUUAGAAAAUAUAAUUGUAUCCUGUUAGUUGCCGUAGGGCAAUGUGAUGUAAAGGUUAGGCUCACUUCAUGAGUUCAAAUCCUACUGCAGACAAACAACCAAGUCUUUAGGUGGAGAUGGGUAGAGGGAAAAUUCAUUAUCCCCGCUGAGUUUCAAAUCAUGACCACUGGCUCUCGAGAUUUUUAGGUUAUAAAAAAAAAAUGUGUCCUGCUAUUCCGCAUGUCAUCAAUCAAAGAAUACAAAAAAAAACAAUAUUAAAAAAUUGAAUCCUAUUAAGUUUCCUCUUGAAUUGCAUGUCAUUACUAUUGAAGUUCUUUCAACUUCUCAAAAAGGAGUUAUUGGUUUCUUCAUGGUGUUAAUUUAAUAAGAAAGCCUCUACCCGUUCUUAUGAUUUACUUAAGAUAAAUAUAUUCUUACCUUCACUAAUGUAAUAAAAUUAUCCAUCUACGACAUUUGCAGGGGUUGCUAGAUAGGAUUCUAGUCGCGUUGGGCGUUAUCAAAUCUCACCAUUUUCGGUUAGAUGUGGAGCACCUUCAAGAGUUAGAAAGCAAUUUAGAAUGUUUUAAUUUGUGUGGAG
rnacentral:lncRNA from 1 species